rnacentral:lncRNA from 1 species
UUCCGUAACUCUCCACAGUUGUGAUUUCGGGGGGAAGUGAGCAACUCACAGCACACCUCUUUCCCUCGCCCGAAUUUCGUUUUCAUCGUCUUCUUCCCGCUUCUUCCUCUCUUCAAUUCCCGCUCUAAAGACAUCGAAACUUCUCAAUUCAAUUUCUCUUCCAUCUGUUCAAAUUUCCGCUUAGCAUUUUACUUGCUAGGGUUUCUGGUUUUGGGUAGCCCUUCUUCUUGCGCCUUCGUCUCGCAAUCAUUCUCGCAUGCAGACUGCCAGUAAGUCUUACUUCAAUCUUAUUUUCCGCUUCCCAUUCGUUUCCAGGUCCAGCUAUGGUAUAGCUAUUGCUAUGCUCUUUGACAGCAGCUGGGUUAAUAUUGUGGUUAUGGACUUAAGGGACUGCUAAUUUUUACUCGAGUUGUUUUGUUUCAUUAGAAUAUAUAUCUGAUUCUACUUGUAGGGUUUUGGGUUUUGAUUUGCUGAACUUGAGUGCGCAAUCUGGUUGUAGAUCUAUCCGCAAGAGGUUCAUUUGGCAGUUUCAUCACCUUAGUGAUCUCUGCUUACCAAUUAUCUUUUUGAUGGUCUCUCAUCUAUUGGUAAGUUAGGCUCUCAG